rnacentral:rRNA from 1 species
AAUAGAUACCCCGGUAGUCCACGCCGUAAACGAUGAGUGCUAAGUGUUAGAGGGUUUCCGCCCUUUAGUGCUGCAGCUAACGCAUUAAGCACUCCGCCUGGGGAGUACGGCCGCAAGGCUGAAACUCAAAGGAAUUGACGGGGGCCCGCACAAGCGGUGGAGCAUGUGGUUUAAUUCGAAGCAACGCGAAGAACCUUACCAGGUCUUGACAUCCUCUGCUACUUCUAGAGAUAGAAGGUUCCCCUUCGGGGGACGGAGUGACAGGUGGUGCAUGGUUGUCGUCAGCUCGUGUCGUGAGAUGUUGGGUUAAGUCCCGCAACGAGCGCAACCCUUGACCUUAGUUGCCAGCAUUCAGUUGGGCACUCUAAGGUGACUGCCGGUGACAAACCGGAGGAAGGUGGGGAUGACGUCAAAUCAUCAUGCCCCUUAUGACCUGGGCUACACACGUGCUACAAUGGACGGUACAAAGGGCUGCGAAACCGCGAGGUGGAGCCAAUCCCAUAAAACCGUUCUCAGUUCGGAUUGCAGGCUGCAACUCG